rnacentral:rRNA from 1 species
CCUACGGGGGGCUGCAGUGAGGAAUAUUGGUCAAUGGGCGCGACCCUGAACCAGCCAAGUCGCGUGAAGGAUGACUGCCCUACGGGUUGUAAACUUCUUUUAUAAAGGAAUAAAGUGAGGCACGUGUGCAUUUUUGUAUGUCCUUUAUGAAUAAGGAUCGGCUAACUCCGUGCCAGCAGCCGCGGUAAUACGGAGGAUCCGGGCGUUAUCCGGAUUUAUUGGGUGUAAAGGGAGCGUAGAUGGUUGGUUAAGUCAGUUGUGAAAGUUUGAGGCUCAACCGUAAAAUUGCAAUUGAUACUGGUAGCCUUGAGUACAGUUGAGGUAGGCGGAAUUCGUGGUGUAGCGGUGAAAUGCUUAGAUAUCACGAAGAACUCCGAUUGCGAAGGCAGCUUACUAAACUGCCACUGACAUUGAUGCUCGAAAGUGUGGGUAUCAAACAGGAUUAGAUACCCGUGUAGUC